GUUUUUAUUCAUACUGCUUUCUUGCUUAUAAAACAAAUACAAUUUCUAGAUUGUACUUUAUAUUAUAAAAUUUACAAGUAUAUGUCGCAAAGCUCCGGGGUAAGAGAGAGAAAGAUAUAUGAGCGCCGCUUUAGACACAGACGACAGUCGAAUACGAAAUAUAUUUUCAGUAAUAUUGCCAUCGACGAUUGUACGUCAUCUAUUCGAUUUGUCUAUCGCUGAUGCACGCAAGGCAGAUUCAUCUUCAGGUACCUGCUCUGAAUAGGCGAGAAUUGUAUGACGCAGCGACGAAAAAGUUAUGCGUGAAUACUUGCGUUUGACAAUACAUAUAUUGGUAAAAUACACGCACGAAUCCAAUCACAAAACUGAUCAACCGCGUACAAUUUUGUGCAUAUUUCCAUAACAACGGCAACAGUAGCAGCAGCAGCAGCAGCAGCAGCAACAACAGAAAUAGCAAAACAAAAUAAUAAUAACAACAAUAACAAAUAAUAAUAAGUCAUUAACAUUAAGUUCUCCGGAUCGCGUCUAGGCGAUUAAUCAAACUACACAUAAUAUUUAUGGCACCACAACAUAGCUUGUCAUGUAUAAAUUUCAUAAUAGAAUAAGCAGUCUUUAAAAAAUAAAAAACAAAAUUCUCCAAAACAUCUGCAUUGAAUUAUAUCGUCAUCUAGACACGAUCCGGAUUACUGAGUUAAUGAUCUAUUAUAAUAUAAAAUCAAAAUUAAUAUUCCUUAUAAUAUUAAUAAACGCGGGCUCUAAGGCUAAAAUUCUAUUAACGCUGCUGUCGUUUGUACGUGAGUCUUACUGAAAUUACGGCACGAGAAGGAUUAUAUAUAAUUUUUUUACUUUUGAACCGUUUCGAGCGAGCUUUUACAUUACAUGCAAAACGCAAAAAGGCGCGAAAGAGAGGGCGUCUUUACGAAGGAGAAGGGCGUGUCGGUAUUUUCUGCCUUUUCCCUCUCUUUCUCUCUGUUUUCUUUUUCAAGGCAGCGAAUUAAUGCACAUGCCAUAAAGUACACUCCUGCAGAAGAAGCCACCCGUUCGACUUUACGUUUUCUCGAUAGAGCUACAAAACUGAACGCGCCGAUACGUACGUAAGAUGGGAAAGUUAAAAGUUGCUUGCAGGAUCGAGAAUCUGCUAAUACUUUCAGCUUCUCUUUAUACUGUAAAUAAAUAAUACUUUUAUUUUUUUACCUCGAAUAUAAUAUCUCGCACGAUAUAUCGCCACCCAACAAUAUUAUAUUACCAUCAUAUCAUUGAUGCCAUUAUUUAAUCUGCGAUUAUCAAGGUGUAUUGAUUUUUGUUUGAAGUUUACUUGCAAAUGAGCAAAAUGUGUGAUCAAAGCGGAAGAGGAAUGAUCGAUUAGAAAUUAAGCUCGUUCUUCAAGUACGUGAGACACUUGGUAGCACCACCUUGUUGAUGGCUAAAAUCUAAUCAAAUUUCCUAAAUAUUGACCACUUUAUCGAGCUGAUCUCAUUUGAUUUGGCUGAGAAAAUCACUACUCGCUGAAUUUGCAACGUACCGUUUGAGCAAUUAAUAGCAAUUAAUCACAGUUAAUAACCCUAAUGCGAUGAGUAUUGCUUUUAAUCUAUUAUUCAUUGUACAUCUUGCAAGCAAUUAAAUUUAUGGUCGGAUGGCAAGACUAUAGUGAGCAUGUACGCAUGUGUCGCAUUAUAAAUCAAUAUAUGCUAAUACCGUGUUUCAUGAUACGCAUUUCAACUUGUUUCGACGGUACACGACGAUACAUACAUCAACUAAUCAACUCGACAUGAUACGAAAAUUAUGUCAUGUAUAUCAUAUUUAGCGCAAGCGUUACAUUUGAUAUGGUUAUAAGUUAUUCCAUGCGUGCGACUGAUACGCAGGAUAUGAUCAGACUAUGAAGUUAUGUCACCGAUGCAUUGUCAAUGGUGGGAUGAUUUCAACUUUACACCAUACGGAUUUACCGUAUCUCGCAAACCCCUCUCGCAAAAUGGAACGUGUUUCAACAUCUUGCACCGUUGAAAUUGUUUGUUUCAUCUCAACCCAUUUAUGGCAAAAACAACAUUUUUUACAACAUUUAAUAUUUCUAUGAUUUAUGAGAUUUACAGACUCUAGUAUCACGCAUUUGGUAAUGGUUCAAAAAAGCACUACAAAAUCAUGCAACAUUAUACAGUAUGUAUAAAACAAAGAUAUGUAUGAAUGAUAUAAUGUUUAGUUUUUAAUUUUUUAAUAUUAGUCAUAUAUAAAAAUAUUAAGUUUUCUGUGUAUUUAACAUUUAUAACGUACAGUUCUAAACUAAUAUAUCUACACAGAAAAAAAGUUGUGUUAAUGUAAUAAAGUAAACUUUAUCGGAACAAUCGGGCCCAAACUUUUGACUGACUUAACAUAUCAUAAUAUAUACCAUUUUCCAUGUGUAUUUUAUUAUUUAUAAUUAUUGUAAUUUUCAAAUAAAAUCAAACCGCAAAAUACUAGUCUUCACGAUGUCUGCUCAUCCGAUAAAACAUGCUGCGCGCGCGCGAAACUGAUACCUCUGUCAACAUACAGAAAAAUCCCACUACGUGUCAGGUCCUUAUCAAAUUCCACGGACAUUGACAGUAUAAAUGCGUCUCCGGCGGAGGAUUCACAGUCUCGUUGUGACAACACGUAAGAAAUGUAGUUUGCCCGAGUGGACAAUGACUGCUUCGGUAGUCGAGGCACGUAUCGCGCGCGCCGAAGGAACAUCGCAGCCGCUUCAUUCUCGACGAGGACGAAUGAAUCGAGAGACGCUUGACAUUACAAUUAUCGGAUGAACGUGGCGCGGGCACCGUUGCGUCCGUCUUAAAUCAAAGAAAAUGGAUGACGUGCACUGCUGGAGGAACCACGGCGAUUAGCCGAGAACAUUCUGUGAUUUAUGACGCCAGAAAGGACGCAGGCGAAACGAAUCUUCUGAUGGCUCUGAUAAAAUAAAGAUACCCGUGCCAGAACAAAAUAUUCAAUGGUUUCACACGCAUACACACACACACACACACACACACCUCUUGGAUAUGAUCAAUGAGAAACGAAGAAACUAACAGCAAGUAAUAAAGGAUUUUUGAAGAAACUAACGUUGCCUUUCAAUAUAAGUAAGUAUGCAAUUUGUUUCCCAAUAUACCAGGGUAGAUUGAAAAGUUUCCGACCUGACUAAGAAAAAAAACAUUUUUUUGAGCUAAAUGAAAUUUAUUUCUCAAAAAGUCUCCCUUCGACUUCAAUACACUUGGUCCAGCGCAUUUUUCAAGACCUGUCAUUCCUUCAGUAGAAUAACUUUUGUUUAAAUCCGAAAAAUAGUCAUUAACGGCACUUAUAACUUCAGCAUCCGACGAACACUUUGUCCCAGAUAGCCAUUUUUUUUAAAUUUGGAAACAGGAAAAAAUCGCACGGGGCCAAAUCUGAAGAGUACGGUGGAUGUGGAAUUAAUUCGUACUUCAGUUCAUACAAUUUCGCCAUCGCAAUUGCUAAUUUGUGCACCGAUUUCCUAUUUCUCCAUUGUUGACAAACUGUAACUUUGAAGGGCUGUCAGAAACAAAUGAAUCGCUAGAAUGACAUCAAACUUAGCUCUUUGUGUUUCUUUCACUGUCAUCUAUUGGACAAGUAUUGAAAUUUGAGUGAAAUCUUGCUCUUUUUCGGUUAGGUUCGGAAACUUUUCAAUCUAUCCUCGUAUUGUACGCAAUAUUUUCCCAAUACAUACAACUACAGAUGUAUCGCCGCGUUAUCGAAAGCUAAUAAAUUAUGGACGCUGCGUUGGUAAGUGUAAUCAGGUUUACGUGGCCCUUAUCACGUUAUAUUAGAUUAUUAUAAUGCGAGACGUAUAAUUAAACUUGAAUGCAAUCUGGUACGGCGUACUUUGAAAGCGCCUGAAAGCUCCUGCCGUUGACACCGUGUCCAUGAAGGACGCGCAAUUGUACGUGCACUUUAACGUGUGUGCAUCGGGAGUCGAUGUGUAUGCCGCGUUAAAGGCUAUAACGAGUCCUCGUGUGGCGCGAUAAUUACAAGCCUCGGGUAUCCGCGGAAAGCACGCGCGGAUUGCGUUAUGACAUGAUUAUUGUAGCUUGGCUCGCCAGCAAGCUGCAGAGUAACAUGCCUCGCAAUACACUCUUCCGCGAUAUAUCACGUCGCGCGUUCAUUUUAUGCGCAAUUACAACACGUUAUAAUUUGCCCAUGAAAAUGUAAAGCGAUACAAAUCGUUUGGCUUAUCGGGUACAAAUCGUCACCAUCAAAUGCGACAUUUUCCGCAGCCAAAUGAAAUAAAUAUCCCAGCAAAUCAUGCAAAUGAGUAAAGCAGAAAUUCGGAUAUCACAAUUCUGGAAAUCGUCAUACCAAAUCCUCCCUUUACCCUUUCAACAAGUUUCUCCGUUGUUUUUUACGAUUGGAUAAUGAACGAAGGAUGUACAGCACAACAUCAGUGAAACAUCUAUUCGCCAAAGUGUCUUGACUUUGGCACUGACACAAUUUUAUAUAUAUAUAUAUAUAUAUACAAUUUACGUAUUUUGAGAUUCGACUUUAUAGAAUGUAGAAAAGCAAUUGAGAUGUAACAGGAGAUAAUGUGACAUCUCUCUCUCUCUCUCUCUCUGAAAGCGCAAUUUCUGCGAUACUCAACUGACAGGGUCAAAUACUGAUAAAGAUCGUUAUAACAAUUAUGCACGCAUGCAAGCAGAUUGCGUUAUGACAUGAUUAUUAUGGGUGUGGGUCCUGGUGCUGGUGUAACGGCGCAGUUACAAUACACUCCCCAGUAAUACGUCAAGCCAUACGUCUACUCCAUGUGCUGGUGCAUACUGGCUACGCGACAUGCAACUGCUCUCCCUCUCUUGGAGUACGGACGUCGGAUGGAGAGAAUGAGAAAUGCACAGACGCGAGUUUGCUCGAUGAACAGGAUGAAAGAGAUGAGAAAGGUCUUAUAAACACGUACAAGGUAAUAUCGCUCAUGUUUUGCUUCAAGUAGCAAUGUGCAACAGUGCAACAGUCUUUGUCAGUGUGUCUAAUUGAUAGAGAUAUGAGAAUUUUUAUUUAAUGUUGCAAAUGUUGUAUUAUUUUCAAAGGUAUCUGUAUAAUAACGCAAAUUUAAAAAUCACUCGUCCUUAAAAAUUGAAUCAAGAUCGAUCCAAUAAUUUCAAAUAUUAUUGUAAAUAUUUAUUUAGAAUGCAUUAUCAUUUAUGCUUUCUUAAUAAAAUGGGUGAUGAGACAAGAAAACAGUAUGAAAUGAGUGUUUGUAACAAAUCGAAUCGAUUUAUUUAUAAAAUUAGCAUAAGGAUCCUAUGCUUCAUGAGAAAUGAUGCUUUGGGUUAGGUUAGUUUCUCUGAGCGUAACGACGCAAGGUGAAAAGCGGAUUUCUCCCUCCGUCGCUCACGCGUUUUCUGUGAUAAUUCAUACAGAAAUGAACGCCGUCUUAUAUUGCAAUCGAUCAGUGUUAAGAUUUAUUCUGUUAACAACUUUUCAGUAAACAAUGAGUGGCAACUAAAAUUUUUUUUAAAUUAGUCAAAGCCAUAUCCUUGACAAUAUAUGUCAAGAUCAUUGAAUAAGGUCGCCUCCAAUCUUAACAUUUACCGGGAUUUUUUUUGUAUCGUCGACCUACUUGUCCCCUUUAUUUAUUCUUAUUUUAUCGCGUGUCGUUGAUGACAAACUAAGGAGCUGCUGCACUUUCCAUUUGCAAGUGCGAAGUGAAAUGUAGGACACUCGGAGGACUGAAAUGAAAAGAUAUCGGUGACUGGGGGACUAGAAUCCAUGAGAUUCUAUGAUUUUAUCACAAUAACGUUACUUCCCGCUAUUCCUCCAAGCUAGGAAAUAACUUUUACUUUGCGCACACCUUGAGAGAAAUGCUAUAAAAUACUAUCACCUUUUCAAUAAUUGAAAUAUUGAAAAAGCACGGACAUAAGAGCAAUUCCAGAUUCCAUAUUUUUUUCUGCGCGUAACCAUGUAAAAUCUACGCAAAUCUACAAUGAUGGUGCGAAUAAAUAAUCUGUUUCCGAUAAAACGAGGUAUGAGUAAUCGUAUUAGUGUACCACGUUUCUAUAAUUUUCCGCGUCAGUGGGUUAAACGGUAAUGACGGCACGCAUGCAUGUGUGUAUUAAGGCAGGCGGAACGUGGGCUAAUUCGCGGUAUGCAAGCUCAUAAAAAUUCAACGCCACUCGGAAUUCAUACGCGUCGUCGCGCCGCGGUGUGCCGUGUCGUCUCGAUGCGGUGCAGCACGACCGCAUUUAAAAAGGGCAAACAAAAGCAGCAUCCACCGGGCACACCGCUGCACUGCAUCUCCGUCCUCUCUCGAAGGAUGGAGUAACACGGCGUUCCGUACUUGCCGCGUGUGCAGCUCCAGAGAGAAUUAUACAUGGCGGAAUGCGCUGUCCGCGUUCGUUUUCGAACAAGCGAGUCGCCUGAAUCGAGACGAAAAAUCUAUCUUUUGUCUGUCUCUCGUCUUGUCGCCUUUAGAUCAGACAAAUCCCACAAGAAAUCUAAUUACUGAAGGAUCACUACAUAUAUGUAUAAUGAAGAAGUAGAAACAGACAUAUUGUGCAGUUAAUUUGAGUAAUGAUAAAAAGAAUCUGAUUGAAAAGUGAUUCCGUAAUGCACUUGUUUGUGAUCCCAUGCACGCAGAUGUAUGAGCCACACGUCCAGAUUCUGCACGUCUUUCAACGAAGCUGCCCGACGUGCCGAGAUCAAAAACACUGUUUCGAGCUUUCAAGGCUUUUCAACCUCGAGCUUUCGAGCUUAACUACCGGCACAUCACUAUGCGCACUUCACCGUCACGUAUCACAGAAACCAUAAGGACCGAAAACAACUUUGUUUCUCUGUACAUGUUGAAACUCUACAGCUAUGAUUACGGCUUUCGCGUAUACAUCAAUAUAAUUAGUAUCAUUGGUUUAGUUAAAAUUAUGUUAUGCAACAUUGCGUGCGUAUAAAUCUGAUUUAUUUAUUUUAUAACAGUUUACUUUUAAGUGAUUUUGUGUCACGGUACUUUUCUUUUCUACUUUCUUUAAUUCUACUUUCUUUAAUUGUGCGUCUUUUAACAUGUUCUUAAUUUAACAGUAUUGGGCAUUUCCUAGCCAAACAUUUUUAUAUUACCGCGAAAGAGCAGAGGAAUACUGUUGCAGCUAAAGAUAAGUUUAUUUUCUUUGCUAUUGUGCUUUUAUGUACCUUACAAGCGAGCACAUUCAUACAUCACAUUUUCUGUACGUUUCAAAUUGAUAUAGACUUGUAGAGUGUCGGAAAACGUGAUACACAUAUCUCGUUAUACAAAUGUGAUGAGGAAUUUAAAGAUGCGAAAUAUCGUAUCAAAACUCAACAGUUCAGGAAAUAUUUUGUCACAAAAUAAAUGUCAAAAUACUUCUUGGAUCGGAAAACAUUUGAAAAGUUUUAAAAUAUUCAGUACACUUUGCGACCAUAAUUAUCCUUACUGUUUUCGCAAAUUCAGAAAUUUGUAUAAAAACAAAGUUUAAUAGACAUUUCCUGAUUUUCUGAUUUAUCCGCAUAUAAUAAUAUCAUUUUCAUACUGUGCUUCGUCAUGCCAGUUUAAUAUGCAUCUAAAUUAUACAUAUCUUUAAGAAAACAAACUUCUAACAAAUUGAAAAAUUUUAACAGAAUUAUAAAUCAGAUGUGUAAAUGAUAUUUGAGAACAAUUUUUUUUCUGGAUCGUUCAUAUUAUUUAAAUAAAAGGUUAUUAAUUAUAAUCAUAAAAAUAUUACAUGUGUAUGUAUAAAAUGUCUUACUAAUUUUUUUUACGAUGGUUCUUGACCCCAUUUUUCAAACUAAAUAAAUUCUAAUAACAUUCUUUUCCGACAUCAACUAUACAUUACAGUUUUAAUUUACAUAAAUAAUAAUUUUUCUUCGAAAAAUACUUAUUUGCAAGAUAAAAUAUUAUAAUAUUGAUGAAAUUAUCUAUUCCAUGUGUUAUCAGUAUUAUUACAAAAAGCUGCAGAUAUGCAUAUUAAUUAUACAAAGAGCAUAAAAUUAUACUCUAAUGAUGAUUAUUAUUACAUUAAAUAUAUUUAAAACAAACUAUAAACUAAUUAUAACGCCAAUAAUAUAUUUAUUAUUAGUAACAAAAAUAUGUGGUUAUAUCGUAAAAAAAGUAUCGCACUAAAAUUUGUUCUAAUAAUAUAACGCAGAAUUUCCGAUAUUCCAAGUUACACGGAAACCUCGUUUACGUGUAUUUCCUAGCGUUCCUAUUUGCAUUAUCCGGAUUGUAUUAGUGCUGCAUAAAUUUUCAAUUUUCUCUGAAAUAAACAAUUGCUGACGAUAUGCGUUAUACAAUAAAAAUAAUUCUUCAUAGACUAUCUGACACAUACGUGAUAUUUGCAAGAAAGAAAUGUUUAAUGUGAUGCAACGUCUGCCUAUUCACUAAUUAAGUUUUUAUUAUACGGAAAAAACUGCACAUCCAUGUUCUCUCUAUUUAUGUAUUUCCUGAGCUAUGUUGGACACAAAAAAUAUCAAUCACAGCAACUGUGUAAAAGGUGACAAAAUUAUUCUAUGUCAUUCAAUUAUUUCGUCACAUUUAGUAAACCGAAAACGGAAAAAGGUAAUUUCUUCUGGUAAAACUAUAUAAAAACUAUUUGACCUGAUUGCCUGGUGAAAUAUAGUAUGCGUGAUCCAUCAAGGCAAGAAAUAAAAAACUAUAAAUAU